ACACAGCUAGCAAGUGCUCCUCAAAAGUGUGGUUCCUUGACCAGCAGCGUCAGCGUCAUCGGAUAAUUUGUGAGAAAUGAAGAUUCUUGGGCCCCACCCCAGACCUAAAUAAUCCGAAACUCUGGGGAUGGGGCCCAGCAAUUUUAUCUUUAAAAGCCCUCCGGGUGAUUCUGGUGCAUACUCCACUUUGAGAACCACUGAACGAGUAGAGACAGAAUCCAAAUAAGAGCUGAAAGCAGUCCAAGGGAUAGAAAUGAGACCAGGGUACAUCCAGGUGGCUCCCCAUGGCCUCUUGUGUCAGUGCCCAGAGAAGCAUCCCUCAGAGUUUGGUGACGUUGGCAGCCAGCGGGCAGGAAGACGUCUGCCAGAAUGGAGGAGUGCAGAACUGCAGGUUGGCCGCCUUUGGACCCCGGGCACGGCACACCCAGAAACAACAAAAAUACCUCGUAA